AAACUGCAGUAACUAGUGUGAAUUGCAGGAUACUGUGAAUCAUCGAGACCUUGAACGCAACUUGCGCCCCCGGGCAACCGGGGGCGUGCCUGGCCGAGUGCCGUCGCAACCAUCACGCCGCGCGUGGACAUGGGCGCGGGCCGGAGGGGCCCCGUCCCAAGCGAGACGGCCGCCGCGCGCGCGGGCGGGCGGGGAACGGCGAGGGGAGGAGGCACCCCCCGAGGCCGGGACCGCGGCCGCGCGGGGAGCGGGGGCGAGCGACGACACCGAGCUUGCGGCCUCGGCUCAGGCACGGACACCCGCCGAACUUAA
rnacentral:misc_RNA from 1 species